rnacentral:rRNA from 1 species
UCAGCGGCGGACGGGUGAGUAAUGCCUAGGAAUCUGCCUAUUAGUGGGGGACAACGUUUCGAAAGGAACGCUAAUACCGCAUACGUCCUACGGGAGAAAGCAGGGGACCUUCGGGCCUUGCGCUAAUAGAUGAGCCUAGGUCGGAUUAGCUAGUUGGUGAGGUAAUGGCUCACCAAGGCGACGAUCCGUAACUGGUCUGAGAGGAUGAUCAGUCACACUGGAACUGAGACACGGUCCAGACUCCUACGGGAGGCAGCAGUGGGGAAUAUUGGACAAUGGGCGAAAGCCUGAUCCAGCCAUGCCGCGUGUGUGAAGAAGGUCUUCGGAUUGUAAAGCACUUUAAGUUGGGAGGAAGGGCAGUAAGUUAAUACCUUGCUGUUUUGACGUUACCGACAGAAUAAGCACCGGCUAACUUCGUGCCAGCAGCCGCGGUAAUACGAAGGGUGCAAGCGUUAAUCGGAAUUACUGGGCGUAAAGCGCGCGUAGGUGGUUUGUUAAGUUGGAUGUGAAAGCCCCGGGGCUCAACCUGGGAACUGCAUC